UACGUAGGGUGCAAGCGUUGUCCGGAAUUAUUGGGCGUAAAGAGCGUGUAGGCGGCCCGAUUAGUCCGCUGUGAAAGUCCAGGGCUCAACCCUGGAAUGCCGGUGGAUACUGUCGGGCUAGAGUCCGGAAGGGGCGAGUGGAAUUCCUGGUGUAGCGGUGAAAUGCGCAGAUAUCGGGAGGAACACCCGUAGCGAAGGCGGCACUCUGGGCCGGAACUGACGCUGAGGAGCGAAAGCGUGGGGAGCAAACAGG
rnacentral:rRNA from 1 species